AUACGUAGGGGACAAGCGUUAUCCGGAUUUACUGGGUGUAAAGGGAGCGUAGGCGGCCAGCCAAGUCAGAAGUGAAAUCCCACGGCUCAACUGUGGGCGUGCUUUUGAAACUGGAGGGCUUGAGUACUGGAGGGGCAAGCGGAAUUCCUGGCGUAGCGGUGAAAUGCAUAGAUGUCAGGAAGAACACCGGAGGCGAAGGCGGCUUGCUGGACAGAGACUGACGCUGAGGCUCGAAGGCGUGGGGAGCAAACAGGAUUAGAUACCCUGGUAGUCCACGCGGUAAACGAUGAAUGCUAGGUAUUGGGCUCCAUAGGGGUUCGGUGCCGCAGUUAACGCAAUAAGCAUUCCACCUGGGGAGUACGUUCGCAAGAAUGAAACUCAAAGGAAUGGACGGGG
rnacentral:rRNA from 1 species